GAUGAACGCUGGCGGCGUGCCUAAUACAUGCAAGUAGAACGCUGAAGGAAGGAGCUUGCUCUUUCUGGAUGAGUUGCGAACGGGUGAGUAACGCGUAGGUAACCUGCCUGGUAGCGGGGGAUAACUAUUGGAAACGAUAGCUAAUACCGCAUAACAGUAGAUGUUGCAUGAUAUCUGCUUGAAAGGGGCAAUUGCUCCACUACCAGAUGGACCUGCGUUGAAUUAGCUAGUUGGUGAGGUAACGGCUCACCAAGGCGACGAUGCAUAGCCGACCUGAGAGGGUGAUCGGCCACACUGGGACUGAGACACGGCCCAGACCCCUACGGGAGGCCGCACUAGGGAAUCUUCGGCAAUGUACGAAACUCUGACCGACCAACCCCACGUGAGUGAAGAAGGUUUUCGGAUCGUAAAGCUCUGUUGUAAGACAACAACGAGUGUGAGAUUGGAAAGUUCACACUGUGACGGUCUCUUACCGGACAGGGACGGCUUACUACGUGCCAGCAGCCGCGGUAAUACUUAGGUCCCGACUGUCAUACGUAUUUAUUGGGCGUAAGUCGAGCGCAGGCGGUGAGUAUUAGUCCCGAAGUAUAAUGGAUGUGGCUUAACCUCAUUACGCUUUGGAUAUUGUUUAACUUUUCUGCUAGAUGUUACCGUGCAAUCCGUGUGUACCGAUGAAUUGCUCUGUACUAUUGAGGUACUCCGGGAGAAAGGUCCUUUUGCUUGGUCUGAUGCUGAGCUCAAAGGCCGCGAGUGACUGCAUGAUAAUCUGGGUGUCUAUGGUGUGAGUCCUGUCGGAUGUGUGUCGUGGCGGUUCGCUUGUGCUCUGUGCGUGCGGCCAGGCCCAGCAGUUAUUUCACUUGUUUUGCAGUUCUAUAUGACGAUGUGCCUUUUGUCUUACUAUGCCUGUGUUAUUCUAAUCUGUGCACUGUGUGUGCUUGCUGCUCUUCUGCUGGUUGGCUUUAUUGCCUAUUCUUAUCCUGACCCUUGCCUUGAGCCCUGUGACUGAUGCCUGCUAUGCUGCCUGUUUAUGCUCCUAGAGCUGCUUAGCCUAGCUUGUAGUUUAGUAUAGAUCUUGAGUAGCCUGUAGACCUUGAAUAUGACUGACAAGGAAGAGAGAUAG
rnacentral:rRNA from 1 species